rnacentral:rRNA from 1 species
CUCCUACGGGAGGCAGCAGUGGGGAAUAUUGGACAAUGGGGGGAACCCUGAUCCAGCCAUGCCGCGUGUGUGAAGAAGGCCUUAUGGUUGUAAAGCACCUUAAGCGAGGAGGAGGCUCUUCUAGUUAAUACCUAGGAUGAGUGGACGUUACUCGCAGAAUAAGCACCGGCUAACUCUGUGCCAGCAGCCGCGGUAAUAAU